UACGGAGGAUGCGAGCGUUAUCCGGAUUUAUUGGGUUUAAAGGGUGCGUAGGCGGACGCUUAAGUCAGCGGUAAAAUUGCGGGGCUCAACCUCGUCGAGCCGUUGAAACUGGGUGCCUUGAGUGGGCGAGAAGUACGCGGAAUGCGUGGUGUAGCGGUGAAAUGCAUAGAUAUCACGCAGAACUCCGAUUGCGAAGGCGGCGUACCGGCGCCCAACUGACGCUGAAGCACGAAGGCGUGGGUAUCGAACAGG
rnacentral:rRNA from 1 species